CCACCUUCUCUAUCGCACAUUCGCUCCGCCCUCCGCAACGUGUCCUUGCUCUGCGCCGCCACCACCGUCGGCCCGGGCGGUUCCUCUGCGGCGACCGUUUGGUUGUCCGAACCGCCGUCCGCCCGUCCCUCCGUGUGAGGGGGCAGGAGGACAGGACGAGAUGUGCUACUGCCUGCUGCUUGCGAGUUGCGAUGGCUGAGCCAUUGAGGUGCGCAUUGCGCUAUCUCCUGUCUAUUCUGCUAGAGGAAUGGGAGGGCCGCGGAGUUAGAGGCAAAGGUCGGAGGAGAUGAGCAGCUGCUGCUCGGUGUUUCCUGGAGAGCGGCGGCCACGAACGGAAGAGGAUGAGGAGAGGUGCUAGGUCUGACCGUCAGAGAGUGGGGGGGAGCCUACUUAGCUAAGGUUUAAAACGACAACUGACGUUGGAAUCUUCUUCUCCCAAAGGGUGACGGUGACAGCGCUUGAACAUGGAAACAGUCGCCGGCCGCCAUGCAAGGCGCUGUCGUUAUGUGUGGUUAAGGAUGCAAUUUUAUGUUUAAACUAAGUCGAACUUCUUUAAUUUUGAUUAAAUUUAUAAUAUAUAUAUAUAUAUAAUUAA